UACAGAGGGUGCGAGCGUUGUUCGGAAUUACUGGGCGUAAAGCGCGCGCAGGCGGCUUUUUAAGUCCGACGGUGAAAUGCCGGGGCUCAACCCCGUGCCCGCCGCGGAUACUGGGGAGCUGGAGACGAGUAGAGGCAAGCGGAAUUCCGGGUGUAGCGGUGGAAUGCAUAGAGAUCCGGAAGAACACCGGAGGCGAAGGCGGCUUGCUGGGCUCGGUCUGACGCUGAGGCGCGAAAGCGUGGGGAGCGAACAGG
rnacentral:rRNA from 1 species